GUAAAUUUGGGUGUAGUUACUAACUAUAUUCAUAUUAAGCGUAUGUUUGAGCUUAAAAUCAUAAAGAAAGAAGCAAGAACUGUAUGAGUCAGAGCUUUACUUACAUCACCAGGUUGGUGGUGGAGGGGGAGACACCAUAUACAUACACAUGACAACAAAGCAUGCAGCCGCUAACGGCAAGCUGGUUGGCUGGAUUGAGAUAAAUGAAGGGAUAGAAAGGACAGAUUUGAGAAGUGUGUUCUGCUCUCAGCUCUCUUCCUCGGUCUUUUUUUUUAAUUUAUUUUGCUUUCUCUCUGUCUUUGCUGCCUGCCUGCUCUGCUCAGAGGAGGGAUUUGCCCUAUCUUCCCUGGCUUAGUGCACCAUCGUGAAAGCAGUGGGUGGAUGGGAAGACGCAGAAAGAAGAAGAAGAGGAGGGAGAGGAUGAAAGGGAAACAGCUGCUGCCUUUAAACUGACUUUCUUCUUAUCGUGAUGUUAUAGAGGAUAUGUUCACUGACUCAGCCAUCAAAGAGCAGCUCGGAAACAAUUACACCCUCGGUUUUGUGUUUUCUGAGCAUGUGUGUGUGUGUGUGUGUGUGUGUGUGUGUGUGUGAUUUUCAGUCUGUAAUCCCAGCAGAACAUGUUUGAAGAUGGCCAUGGUGUUGGAAAAAAAAAGACAACACUUAAACCUUUAUGGAUAAGUGUGGAAUGACAAAAACAUAAAGUUUCUGAGAGGUGCUGGGAGAAAAAAUGAUGUCACCCAAGCGGCAAAUGCAAACGGCAUUCAUCUUGUGUGUGACUUGAUCUCAUCCAAGAGCCUUUUGGUAAUUCUCCAGAAGCUGCAGAGACAACCAAGCUCAGGGACCUGCACCGGAGCUGUGGAGAUAAGCAGACGUUUUUAUCCAUCAGAUAGCUAAUGCAGAAUGAUACACAUCUGUCUGCGAUUGCAGGUUUAGUUGGAAACGUGUGAACUGAGUGCACUCGCUUCCUCUCCGUUAAUGCCAUGCAUUUUGUUUCUGAUUCACCAAAAAAAGAAAAAA